rnacentral:lncRNA from 1 species
AUCAGGCGUAGCUCUUGGUAGCUGAAUGGUUGUAUAUCUGGGUUUGGUGCUGGGAACUGUUGCAUCUACGAGGUAAAAAAAACAAAGUCAGCGUCCAUUAUGAAAGGAAGAAAACUUGUCGGGGGCUAAAGCAAGAACCUGUCCUAGCUGGCCGGUUGUUGGCCUGGGGAUGUUUUGUAUCCCAACCUCCCUGCAGUAGUUCCCCAGAGCCUACAAAAUGAAAAAGAAAGUACUCACACAUCUUCUAUUUUUAGGAUUCUACCCCGUGGGCACUUGCACAUGUGUACAAAAAAAGCUCGGGAUCCAGCUUUAUUGGGGGACACGGGGGGAAAUAACAAAAAAUUGGAAACCUAGUCAUUCAUCGAUAGAGGAAAGACAAGAUAUACUAUGGUACAUUCGCAUUUUGAAAUACUGUGCAGCUCUUGAGCAAGAUAAAUCUGCGUGAAAAGAUCAAGAUAAAUUGAGAGAAAAAAAAGCCAAGUUGCUGCAAACUAUAUAUUUGCACACAUAGGCAUUUAAAUGUGAAGGAGUAAGUCUGAAAGGGGAAAGGGCAAAGUAGUAACUCUGAGGGCCAGGAUUCGGAUUGGAGGAAGAAGGUGGUCAAGAGCUACUUUACCUUCAUUUGUAUUUUAAAUUUUUUACAAAACAAAUAAUUUUAAAGUAUAUUUUUAAC